rnacentral:lncRNA from 1 species
UGGAACCUGGGCACGUCGUCAUGCAUCAUUCCAGCCCAAAGUUUUCCUGGCUUAAGCUGCUUACAGAGUUUUCAUUUUGCCUACUUUGUGUCUGUCUAUUUUCCGAAACCAGGAUUCUUCGUUGUGACGCUGCGCAAGAACGGCUGCCUGAUGACCAUCUUCUCAACCCUGGUCAUCACCUUUUCGCUGCUGGCUGGCGGAGUGUGGAACGAGAGCUGCGAGCUGGCCGCGGGCUACUUUGGGUUCUUCUGCGGCGCGUCCGCCAUCUACGCCGCCUUCGCCUUCCUGUACAAAAUUGAGCUCGGAAUCGUGCUGCCAGGCGCGAGGCCCGUUGCAUAUAUUUAGAUAUUUAGAUACAAACUACAGAAAUUUUGCAGGACUGGAUCUUGGCUCGUUAAGCGGCGUUGCCGCUAUAUCGCGUCUAUCGAUUGUGUUAUCACCCCGUCAAGUUGCAUCUUGCGGGCAUACGAGAACGUAAACCAAUCAUAUGGAACUGGUGUGCAUGUGGCAUGUGACAUGUGGCAUGUGGCAUGUGACACAGCAGGUGGUCGAAGAAAUGGUGUGUAGAAAGUUCGACUGCGAUGUAAGGUGAAGAAGUACGUGGCGAAGAACAAGAAAGGGAUAUGUAGUUUAAAUCUAUUCGGUGGGUGCUUCGGAAUGUAGCCAGCCUCGGAAAGAUGUAUGUACGAUAAUCGAGAGGAGAAAUCGAUGCGAAUCAGAUCAGUAUAGGGGUGAGUGACCUGUGAUGUUAUGUGUGUAUAAGGGCUUGAGACGACCCAAAUCACGACAAGUUGGUUGAUGAUGGACUCGCGCUUUGCGCUUAUACGGCAUGCAACCGACGCCAAGACAGUUUUUUGGCGCGUUGCAUGCUGCGCUUUGCGAUGCUUUGUGUGUUUUUGCUGGACAGGUUGCCCCCGGCGGGAUGGACGCUGCUGCAGAGCUAGGGUUUUUUGUGGGGGCGGGGUAUGUGAACUGGAUGAACUUUGUUUAAGGUAUUUUGGCUCGGGAGGGAGGGAGGGAAUCGGAUGGUAGGACUGGCUGGGCGACGGGGUGCGCAACUUUUUUAGCGCUGUGUACGGUACCCUCACGCACCGCCGUACCUCGCCCGCAACCAUUGCAACCUUUUUUUGCAACAGUCGUGAAUGAUAAAUUUCGAAUCCGAUCAUGUGCCAUGUGCCUUGAUUGCUGGGUUCCCUGCGUUUUUGUACGUUUUGCAAAUCGAUCGGGUUAGGCAGAACGAUUCUGGGAGGCAAAGAAAUGAUACUAAGGGCACUACGCGUGAUGACAUGUGUGAUUGUGAUGGAUGAAAGGGAUGUUGGGGGGUUUGGCGACUGCCGACUGCCCGCACUUCUCACGUGGAGCUAACUGGCCGUGGCAGCGGUCGUGCGUGGCUGUUGUCACGCCAUAUGACGUGCUAACAGACAUAAGAAAUGCGGAUGGAUCACUGUGUGUUUUCAUGUCAGGCCCUCCGGCGCGAGCCAUAUCUGUGCUACCAUCGGGGGGGAGGUUAUUCGUAGCGGAGCAGCUGAAACCAUAAGGUACUCGAUUGCCGCCAUGCGUUCUCAUGUUCUACUUCGUCCCCGGCCACACGGCCACACGGCCAUGGGCAAUCCUACAGAGCGGGGCCCCCCUGGGCGCUUCGCGCUGGGGCCCCGCCCAAAAAGCUCUAUUUGGAUCUCUACUGCAGUGCCAGUGGUGCACAUCUCGCGUGACUUGGCCCCUACACAGGGCAUUGGGUCCUCGCGCCCUCGAAAAUAAACAGAUUCUGCGCCCCGCAAGUGGGUACAUCCUAAGCAGGCGGUUACAGCAUCUUGUCCACUGCAGUCAUGUCGAACUUUCCGUGCAAAGACACCACACACGCGGAUAUGUGGCCACCAGUUGAUGGAUCGAGAUUUGCACGCUGGAUUGGUGGCGACUGCUGAACCCUCUGUCUCUGCGGAUGUUCGGGUGAACGGAUGAGGAUGGAUCCUAGAAGGCAGGAUCAACCGCCUUGGACUUCCAGUUCGUAUGGCGUAGUACAGUGUGGUAAUGGCGGAUGGUGCUGUAUGGUAUGAUAAAUCGUAGAAAUGACAAUGUGGUCAAAUGGCCCAGAAGCCUCCCACCCUGUAACAAUCCAAGAAUAUGUGACCAACCGUUGGCGUGUCGCUGCGGACGGCCGAUAGCGCACCCACCGAACUCUGCGUGUGUCUCAGUGCCUGCGUGCUGGCCAUGUACAUACAGCGGACUGCAGGGUAACAGGACUGCACGAAACGUUAAUGCCAAUAACUAGGGAGAGGUGGAAUUCGCCAGGAAGUGGCAGCCCCAGCCCCAGCCCCGGCUGGGGCUGCCAGCCCGUGCUAUCCCGGUUCUAUGGGGUGUAGCUCGCGAGCCCGACAGCGGUACUGCUGCCAGAACUGCUACUGCGUUCCUGCUUUCGGAGCCAGCACUGGGCAUGUGCGUGUCCUUACACGCACAAUAGGCCCGACGCGAGACAACGGGUACGGACGGGUUGCAGCGACUUUAUGCCGGCACUCACGGGCUUAGAGACGAAUUGGGGGUAGAGUAGAUUCCAAUCUUAUUGGAACCCGGAGACUGUUGCGCCAAGUGGGUUACGUGGGUAACUGAUAUCUGAAUGAGGGUCGUACCGUAUCUGGCAUUAACCAGAUUGUAACGCAUGACCGCAUGUCUUCGUCCCAUGUUUUGUAUUGGCAACCCGCCAUAAUACAGUUUUUUUAAUCUAAUUUUGGAGGUUGUGGGCUGGUAUACUGUUGGGGAGCACGGUUUUAUAUACGCAACCCGGUACGCUCCGCUGCGCCGGCGGAGACGAGCCGGCGCUCCCUGACAUUCUAAGAAAUGCCAUUCCACGUGCGAGGUUAAUCCUACCAGACUCGCUAACAUUGGUCCUUGCCCUUCCAUUUCUGCCCUCUUCUCCAAUUCUCUGUGCGAAUUAAUUUCCCAGCGCUCUGUUAACGAUUAAAACGUGGGUGGUUGCUGGCGAAGCCGCCGCUUUUAUGGCUUUUGACUGCAACUUUGUGAUCGCUGAUGGUCUUCGCAACCCAGCCAUGACACAAUAUCACAAGCCAUGAAACAAUCAAUCACAAAAAGGUUAAUGUAGUCGUAUGGAGCCUGCGGCAAAGCGAAAGGCUGCAACUUGGCUGUAAAACAUUCCUCCCAACGAGCCUGAUUAUCUUAGUGGUCAGCUGCAUAAGGUGCUCACUACUUUCAUGUUGCUUCACCUAUAAGAUGCGCAGAGCGAGAUCCAUUCUUGAGCUGACAUCAGCAUGCUUACCAAAUUGACGGCUUAGUCAUUCGGUUAGCGUAAACUAUUUUACGGUGUACGGCAACGUUUAUGCAAGGUAUUUGUAUUAAUAACCUAAUCCGCCAUCUAGUUAUCCACAAUGCUGUCGCUGACGCGCUGCUUAUUAUCUUUUACAAAGUAAUUUAGCCCCUGGUCCAAUUGACUUGUCAGAGAAUGAAGAUGCCGCGUGCUUCUUGCGAUGAGGCUGUUGACAUGGAGUCGCAAAGCUCUGAUGAGCGACAGAAGGCCAUGCGUGCGCAGCUGAUGACACCCAUGGCGGCAACAACGGACGAAUGGGUUCGUGGCGACCCAGGUCAGUGACAGAGUUGCUUUCUGUCAUUUUGGCGGAGUGCGCAGCAUAACAGAUGAUAUUCCAUCUUCAUACAGGUCCAUUUGGGCUUUUGUGCUUCGGUAUGACAACCUGGUAAGUCGCUCGCGUAAAGGAAUUCCGGGGUUGUGCGCUUCGGUUGGUUGGAACCACCCUCAAUUUUCGCCUUUUGGAGAAAUUCCUGUAGCAUAGCAAAGAUUUAAAUAAGAAUUCUUUGAAUUCUUUUUGACUUUUUUCCUGACGACGCCAUUUGCAUUCCCUUUUCCCUUUCUUUUCCAUUAUACAUCCUAAUGCGGACGCGGAACAGCAUGUUAAUGUUCAUCACGACAGAGUAAGUGAAAUAUUUUGAGUAGCGUGGUCUGGUGUCAUGCUUACAGGUUUUGUCAUCGAUGACAGCUUUAAGUCAGCUGUGAACUAAUUACUCAAUUGUGACAAUCUGCAGCUGGGCUGAAUCUUCAUUUCUUCCGACCGUCAUGUGCUACGCCAUGUUCUACGGUGGAUUCGGCCAGUUCGUCGCUGGCGUCCUAGAGGUGCGACCGCCGACAGGUCUGAUGCGGCGCUGCUGGUGUCUGUCAUCAUACGCAUAUAAUCAAUGCUUCGUGAAGGAUGUCAUGGAUUUGCAUACCCGAGAAUUUAAAAGGUCCACGGCAUCUGGGACGUCGCUUCUGUUGACAUUGGUUGCCGUACCGGCUCAUUUGCCACCAUUACAGUUGAUCAAGGGCAACACUUUCGGCGGCACUGCCUUCGCCAGCUACGGAGCUUUCUGGAUGGGCUGGUGAGUACUUGCAGUGCCGUACAGCACACCUGACUGCCGUACGCAGCUAAUCCUAUCCACGAACCAACAUGCACGUGCACGAAUCGCAGCAGCUUGUCCGCCUUCACACCGCAGUUUAUUUCCCUUCUCCCUGCACCGCUCGCUCAUCCAUGCCUGUUUCCGUUCCAGGUUCCUGUUGGAGCUCCUGAUGAAGCAGUACCCCUCGGUGUACAAGACCGCGCUCACGGGCAAGACGCUCUGGUGCGGACUGUGGGCCUUCCUGACGGCCGGUAAGAAGAAGACGGGGGGCAGGCAGGCAGGUAUGCAUGCAGGCAUGCGUGCAUAUGCUCCCGUGCGGCAUGGUCCUGGCAGUUUCGCAGCGCAGUGUAUGUGUGUUGCUGUAAUGUGGGCUACUUGUGAUAUUAAGAGUCCACAAUCGUACAAGGACAUCGCUGCAUUGCACCUCCCACGGACAGUCGCAAAUCAUCCUAUACUCCUUACACUUUGCAAGCAAAUCCGUUUGUUUUUCACAUCCAUAUCCGCUGUUCCAGGAUUCUUCGUUGUGACGCUUCGCAAGAACGGCUGCCUGAUGACCAUCUUCUCAACCCUGGUCAUCACCUUUUCGCUGCUGGCUGGCGGAGUGUGGAACGAGAACUGCGAGCUGGCCGCGGGCUACUUUGGGUUCUUCUGCGGCGCGUCCGCCAUCUACGCCGCCUUC